rnacentral:rRNA from 1 species
GUACGGCCACAUUGGGACUGAGAUACGGCCCAGACUCCUACGGGAGGCAGCAGUGGGGAAUAUUGCACAAUGGGCGCAAGCCUGAUGCAGCGACGCCGCGUGGGGGAUGACGGCCUUCGGGUUGUAAACUCCUUUCGCAACCGACGAAGCUUUUGUGACGGUAGGUUGAGAAGAAGCACCGGCUAACUACGUGCCAGCAGCCGCGGUAAUACGUAGGGUGCGAGCGUUGUCCGGAAUUAC